AUUGAACGCUGGCGGCAGGCCUAACACAUGCAAGUCGAACGGUAACAGGAAACAGCUUGCUGUUUCGCUGACGAGUGGCGGACGGGUGAGUAAUGUCUGGGAAACUGCCUGAUGGAGGGGGAUAACUACUGGAAACGGUAGCUAAUACCGCAUAACGUCGCAAGACCAAAGAGGGGGACCUUCGGGCCUCUUGCCAUCAGAUGUGCCCAGAUGGGAUUAGCUAGUAGGUGGGGUAACGGCUCACCUAGGCGACGAUCCCUAGCUGGUCUGAGAGGAUGACCAGCCACACUGGAACUGAGACACGGUCCAGACUCCUACGGGAGGCAGCAGUGGGGAAUAUUGCACAAUGGGCGCAAGCCUGAUUCAACCAUGCCGCGUGUAUGAAGAAGGCCUUCCGGUUGUAAAGUACUUUCACCGGGGAGGAAGGGAGUAAAGUUAAUACCUUUGCUCAUUGACGUUACCCGCAAAAAAAACACCGGCUAACUCCGUGCCCGCAGCCGCGGUAAUACGGAGGGGGCAAGCGUUAAUCCGAAUUACUGGGCGUAAACCGCACGCGCGCGGUUUGUUUAGUCAGAUGUGAAAUCCCCCGGGCUAACCUGGGAACUGCAUCUGAUACUGGCAAGCUUGAGUCUCGUAGAGGGGGGUAGAAUUCCAGGUGUAGCGGUGAAAUGCGUAGAGAUCUGGAGGAAUACCGGUGGCGAAGGCGGCCCCCUGGACGAAGACUGACGCUCAGGUGCGAAAGCGUGGGGAGCAAACAGGAUUAGAUACCCUGGUAGUCCACGCCGUAAACGAUGUCGACUUGGAGGUUGUGCCCUUGAGGCGUGGCUUCCGGAGCUAACGCGUUAAGUCGACCGCCUGGGGAGUACGGCCGCAAGGUUAAAACUCAAAUGAAUUGACGGGGGCCCGCACAAGCGGUGGAGCAUGUGGUUUAAUUCGAUGCAACGCGAAGAACCUUACCUGGUCUUGACAUCCACGGAAGUUUUCAGAGAUGAGAAUGUGCCUUCGGGAACCGUGAGACAGGUGCUGCAUGGCUGUCGUCAGCUCGUGUUGUGAAAUGUUGGGUUAAGUCCCGCAACGAGCGCAACCCUUAUCCUUUGUUGCCAGCGGUCCGGCCGGGAACUCAAAGGAGACUGCCAGUGAUAAACUGGAGGAAGGUGGGGAUGACGUCAAGUCAUCAUGGCCCUUACGACCAGGGCUACACACGUGCUACAAUGGCGCAUACAAAGAGAAGCGACCUCGCGAGAGCAAGCGGACCUCAUAAAGUGCGUCGUAGUCCGGAUUGGAGUCUGCAACUCGACUCCAUGAAGUCGGAAUCGCUAGUAAUCGUGGAUCAGAAUGCCACGGUGAAUACGUUCCCGGGCCU
rnacentral:rRNA from 1 species